GACGAACGCUGGCGGCGUGCUUAACACAUGCAAGUCGAACGGAAAGGCCCUGCUUUUGUGGGGUGCUCGAGUGGCGAACGGGUGAGUAACACGUGAGUAACCUGCCCUUGACUUUGGGAUAACUUCAGGAAACUGGGGCUAAUACCGGAUAGGAGCUCCUGCUGCAUGGUGGGGGUUGGAAAGUUUCGGCGGUUGGGGAUGGACUCGCGGCUUAUCAGCUUGUUGGUGGGGUAGUGGCUUACCAAGGCUUUGACGGGUAGCCGGCCUGAGGGGGUGACCGGCCACAUUGGGACUGAGAUACGGCACAGACUCCUACGGGAGGAAGCAGUGGGGAAUAUUGCACAAUGGGCGGAAGCCUGAUGCAGCAACGCCGCGUGCGGGAUGACGGCCUUCGGGUUGUAAACCGCUUUCGCCUGUGACGAAGCGUGAGUGACGGUAAUGGGUAAAGAAGCACCGGCUAACUACGUGCCAGCCGCCGCCGUAA
rnacentral:rRNA from 1 species